rnacentral:rRNA from 1 species
UACGAAGGGGGCUAGCGUUGCUCGGAAUCACUGGGCGUAAAGGGCGCGUAGGCUGGCUUGUCGCGUCCGGGUUGUGAAAGCCCCGGGGCUUAACUCCGGGUCUGCAGCAAUACGGGGCAGGCUAGAGUUCGGUAGGGGAGAAUCGGGAAUUCCUGGUGAGCGGUGAAAUGCGCAGAUAUCAGGAAGAACACCCGUGGCGAAGGCGGCUCUCUGGGACGUGACUGACGCUGAGACGCGAAAGCGUGGGGAGCAACAGG